ensembl:lncRNA
GGAGAUCAAGACCAUCCUGGCUAACACGGUAAAACCCUGUCUCUACUAAAAAUACAAAAAAUUAGCCAGGUGUGGUGGCAGGCGCCUAUAGUCUCAGCUCCUCAGGAGGCUGAGGCAGGGGAAUGGCAUGAACCCGGGAGGCAGAGCUUGCAGUGAGCUGUGAUAGCGCCAUUGCACUCCAGCCUGGGCGACAGAGCAAGACACCGCCUCAAAAAAAAAAAAAAGAAAAAAGAAAUCAGAUACCCUGGUAAUCCACAGAACAAGUUUUGUUUACAAAUUGGAAGUUUUUCUGGUAGAAGUCAUUCUUAUGUGGGCUUCAUUAAAUCUUUUGGAAGGUAAUGUUCGGAAAAAAUAUGCCUGAUUCCUAGUACACAGUGAGUGGUCAUAAAUUGCUAUCUGCAUGUAGUAAAUCAAAAUUAGAUAAUGAAGGACCAACUCUACUUUCCUUACUGUAAUAAAAUACCCUGCAGGUUCUGUAAGGCAUUUCUAAACUGUAAAUGCUUGAAACGCAAGUUGGACAUUUUCUAUACUAUGUGUAAAAUGCCAGGUUAUACUUCUGUUUUCUUUCUUCCUAAUGGUCAUUGAAAUGAGCUUGUUUCUCUACAUUGAGCAAGCUACAUUUUAUUUUAAAUGAGUCAGGCACACGUUCAAAUGUUUGUCUUUAUUCCCACGAAAUUGCAUGCAGCCUGAGCACAAGUAUGCCUUCACCCUCUGGCUCUUUUCCUGACACCAAAGAGAGAAGUCCGCAGCUACAAGCACAAGGGACUUGUGUUUUAUUAUGAACAAAUUCACAAGAAAACCAUUACUUGAGGAACCAGCCACUCUCAUAACAUUUUCAGUCUUAGGGAAGAAAAUUGUUAGGGAAGAAAAAUUGGCAGACAGUGGGAGAGAGGUUUGGUCAACGUGCAUAAGUGGAAUAAAGUCAUUGAAGUACUUGCAAAAAGAAGAAGGAGAUUUCCCUCUGAAAUAUGGAAUCUAGACCAUUUUUUAAGAGAAUAACUGUACCCCAUGUUAGAAAUGCUCUUUAGCCAUAUUUCAAGAUCCAGAUCUGAACCCAUAUUGUACAGAAAAGCACAAGAGCCCUUACAGCCAAGAGCCCUGGGAGGAGUUGAUUGACAGGCUGAGAUCCAGUCACCAAGCAUCAUUAGUUAGCAAUGAAGUUCUCCCAGGACACCAAACAAAUGUAUUGAAACAUCAUAAUACACUCUCAUUUACUCACAUGGGACAACCACCUAAGUCCAUAGCAAAACUUUACAGAUCUAGAUGCUAUCUCAAGUCAGGAUUCCAGAUCAACAUCCUCCAUGUGGAGAUGAGACAAUUGAGGUUCAGAAAGUUAGAGUGACUUAUUUGCCCAGCUAGCUAACUGGAAUUAGACUCUAGGUCUCCCAACCACUGAUUCUGCUACUCCACACUGUGCUGCUUCCAUUGGUUACAUGGACAUUGACAAUUCAUUGUGAAAGCAUUAAUUAGAAGUCAAGACAAAAGAAAUGUUUGUGAUAUCUUCUCUUACUUAACAUACUUUGGUUUCACCAUUUCAUUUUAGCAUUUUAAAGUAUAGUGUGUCAGUAUAGAAUGAAGAACAAAGCUCUUUAAGAGUAAUGAUGAAACCAAAAGGUAAAAAAGUAGAAGAAUAGCAAAUGUAAGUUAUUAAAUAAAUGAGCAAGAAGUAUGUGUCAGGGAAAAUAAAUGCUUCUUAUAUUGUUAAUACCAUGAUUCCCUGCCCGCUCACCCCCUCACUCACACACUUGAUGCAUUUGGCUUAGAAAAUGCCAUUUUGAGAUACUGGUAUUGAAGACUUCCCUCUUUCCCAACUCUAUCAGAAGUUCUCUUUCUCUUUGGAAGAAGCCAAGGGCCUUACGAAUCAGACUGACCUCUCUUGUGACAGGCAGCCUCGCCUGCCCUUGGAAACAAGCUGCCAGACUGUGAGGGCCACAGAGACCCAAGAGAAGCCAGCACUGCUAGACUGAGGAACUUGUAAAUAUCUUCUGCCUUCUUGGUGAACAAGGACAGAGGCAAUUGUGUGUAUAUUGUGACUGUAGUUUGUGAAGAAAAUGCAACGGUUUGCUUUGACAGCUCCUCAGAUGUACUUGUUAAGUGUGAAUGUGCCUGCCUCAUUGCCUUGUGUUCCAAACACAGUACUGAAUGCGUUGUUUUUAAAUAAACUGUUUUGUUGUGCUUUGGGA